rnacentral:rRNA from 1 species
AUGACGCGCUCGCCGACCCGGGCCUUCUCCCAGCGUUAUUCUUCGGGACCUUUCACGGACCUUGAAACUCAGGCUGUUCUCCCUGGAAUUGAGAUCAAUGAUUGUGGGUACAAGAUAGGCCUAAAUGUUGUAGAUAGUGGUGCCCUGAGAUUCUAUUCAGUUAGGAUACCUCGUGACAACCUUCUGAACCGAUUCGGUGAUGUGGCGCGAGAUGGAAAAUACAUAAGCAGUCUCCCCACGAUUAACAGAAGAUUUGCAGCAACCCUCGUGACCAUUGCUGUUAGAUAUGCUUUACUGCGUCAACAGUUUGGUCUACCUAAGGAGUCUGAAAUCAGUGUGAUGGAUUACCAAUCGCACCAGCAUAAACUAAUGCCUAUGUUGGCAUCAGCGUAUGCAUUUCAUUUUUCCAGAGCGUAUUUGGUAGAUAUGUACUCGGAAAUGAAGAAAACCAAUGACGAGGAUGUUACGGAUGAUGUCCAUGUACUUUCAUCUGGGUUGAAAUCCUACAUAACUUCAUACACAGCAAAAUCUAUCCGCAUAUGCCGAGAAUCGUGUGGUGUCCAUGGGUAUCCUGCUGUAAAUCAUUUUGGUGGUCUGUGGAAUGAUCAUGAUAUAUUUCAAACAUUUGAAGGAGACAACAUAGUUCGCUGCAGCAGGUUGCUGGAGAUCUCCUGA